rnacentral:rRNA from 1 species
UACAUGGGGUGCAAACGUUGCUCGGAAUUAUUGGGCGUAAAGCGCACGUAGGCGGUCCAGCAAGCGGGGAGUGAAAGCCCUCGGCUUAACCGAGGAAGUGCUUUCCGAACUACUGGACUUGAGUACUGAAGAGGGUCGCGGAAUUCCCGGUGUAGAGGUGAAAUUCGUAGAUAUCGGGAGGAACACCAGUGGCGAAGGCGGCGACCUGGGCAGAUACUGACGCUGAGGUGCGAAAGCGUGGGGAGCAAACAGG